rnacentral:rRNA from 1 species
UAGUCCACGCAGUAAACGAUGAGUGCUAAGUGUUGGAGGGUUCCCCCCUUCAGUGCUGCAGUUAACGCAUUAAGCACUCCGCAUGGGGAGUACGGCCGCAAGGCUGAAACUCAAAGGAAUUGACGGGGGCCCGCACAAGCGGUGGAGCAUGUGGUUUAAUUCGAAGCAACGCGAAGAACCUUACCAGGUCUUGACAUCCUUUGACCACUCUAGAGAUAGAGCUUUCCCUUCGUGGACAAAGUGACAGGUGGUGCAUGGUUGUCGUCAGCUCGUGUCGUGAGAUGUUGGGUUAAGUCCCGCAACGAGCGCAACCCUUAUUGUUAGUUGCCAUCAUUCAGUUGGGCACUCUAGCGAGACUGCCGGUGACAAACCGGAGGAAGGUGGGGAUGACGUCAAAUCAUCAUGCCCCUUAUGACCUGGGCUACACACGUGCUACAAUGGACGGUACAAUGAGUCGCGAGACCGCGAGGUUUAGCUAAUCUCUUAAAGCCGUUCUCAGUUCGGAUUGUAGGCUGCAACUCGCCUACAUGAAGCCGGAAUCGCUAGUAAUCGUGGAUCAGCACGCCACGGUGAAUACGUUCCCGGGCCUUGUACACACCGCCCGUCACACCACGAGAGUUUGUAACACCCAAAGUCGGUGAGGUAACCUCUUGGACCCACCCGCCUAAGGUGGGAUAGAUGAUUGGGGUGAAGUCGUAACAAGGUAACCA